rnacentral:rRNA from 1 species
UACGUAGGGCGCAAGCGUUGUCCGGAAUUAUUGGGCGUAAAGGGCUCGUAGGCGGUUUGUCGCGUCUGCUGUGAAAACCUAAGGCUCAACCUUGGGCUUGCAGUGGGUACGGGCAGACUAGAGUGCGGUAGGGGAGAUUGGAAUUCCUGGUGUAGCGGUGGAAUGCGCAGAUAUCAGGAGGAACACCGGUGGCGAAGGCGGUUCUCUGGGCCUUACCUGACGCUGAGGAGCGAAAGCGUGGGGAGCGAACAGG